GAUGAACGUUGGCGGCGUGCCUAAUACAUGCAAGUCGAGCGAACAGACGAGGAGCUUGCUCCUCUGACGUUAGCGGCGGACGGGUGAGUAACACGUGGAUAACCUACCUAUAAGACUGGGAUAACUUCGGGAAACCGGAGCUAAUACCGGAUAAUAUAUUGAACCGCAUGGUUCAAUAGUGAAAGACGGUUUUGCUAUCACUUAUAGAUGGAUCCGCGCCGCAUUAGCUAGUUGGUAAGGUAACGGCUUACCAAGGCAACGAUGCGUAGCCGACCUGAGAGGGUGAUCGGCCACACUGGAACUGAGACACGGUCCAGACUCCUACGGGAGGCAGCAGUAGGGAAUCUUCCGCAAUGGGCGAAAGCCUGACGGAGCAACGCCGCGUGAGUGAUGAAGGUCUUCGGAUCGUAAAACUCUGUUAUUAGGGAAGAACAAAUGUGUAAGUAACUAUGCACGUCUUGACGGUACCUAAUCAGAAAGCCACGGCUAACUACGUGCCAGCAGCCGCCGUAA
rnacentral:rRNA from 1 species